UUGAAAUACCACCCUUUAAUGUUUGAUGUUCUAACGUGGACCCGUGAUCCGGGUUGCGGACAGUGUCUGGUGGGUAGUUUGACUGGGGCGGUCUCCUCCUAAAGAGUAACGGAGGAGCACGAAGGUUGGCUAAUCCUGGUCGGACAUCAGGAGGUUAGUGCAAUGGCAUAAGCCAGCUUGACUGCGAGCGUGACGGCGCGAGCAGGUGCGAAAGCAGGUCAUAGUGAUCCGGUGGUUCUGAAUGGAAGGGCCAUCGCUCAACGGAUAAAAGGUACUCCGGGGAUAACAGGCUGAUACCGCCCAAGAGUUCAUAUCGACGGCGGUGUUUGGCACCUCGAUGUCGGCUCAUCACAUCCUGGGGCUGAAGUAGGUCCCAAGGGUAUGGCUGUUCGCCAUUUAAAGUGGUACGCGAGCUGGGUUUAGAACGUCGUGAGACAGUUCGGUCCCUAUCUGCCGUGGGCGCUGGAGAACUGAGGGGGGCUGCUCCUAGUACGAGAGGACCGGAGUGGACGCAUCACUGGUGUUCGGGUUGUCAUGCCAAUGGCACUGCCCGGUAGCUAAAUGCGGAAGAGAUAAGUGCUGAAAGCAUCUAAGCACGAAACUUGCCCCGAG
rnacentral:rRNA from 1 species